UUAAAAUGUGUCGAUGUAACGAUAUACCAUGUGUGUGUAUAUUUUUGUAGGUUCUUUCAGAUGAAGAGAAAAGAAAACAGUACGACACGUAUGGAGAGGACGGACUUAAAGAAGGACACCACAGCUCACACAAUGACAUCUUUUCUAGUUUUUUUGGAGAUUUUGGUUUUAUGUUUGGAGGAAACCGCCAGCAGCAGGACAGAAACAUUCCCAGAGGAAAUGACAUCAUACUAGACCUGGAGGUCACACUGGAAGAGGUGUAUUCUGGGAACUUUGUAGAGGUAAGCAAACAUUUUGGAAUUCCAGAACGUAAUUUGUCAAUCAUUUGCUUGCUGCAAGUUUACCUAAUUAUGGAUUU